CAGUCGCCACGGUAAUACGAAGGGGGCUAGCGUUGCUCGGGAUUACUGGGCGUAAAGGGCGCGUAGGCGGACAGUUAAGUUGGGGGUGAAAGCCCGGGGCUCAACCUCGGAAUUGCCUUCAAUACUGGCUGUCUUGAGUAUGAGAGAGGUGUGUGGAACUCCGAGUGUAGAGGUGAAAUUCGUAGAUAUUCGGAAGAACACCAGUGGCGAAGGCGACACACUGGCUCAUUACUGACGCUGAGGCGCGAAAGCGUGGGGAGCAAACAGGAUUAGAUACCCCUGUAGUCCCUGUCUCUUAUAC
rnacentral:rRNA from 1 species